UCUGGGUAUGUUGGUUUUCAGUGCUGGGCAGUAGCGAAGCGACUAGUUUAAUUACAUUCCCUAGUAGCUUGGUCGUAGCGUCAUUACUAUGUAUCGACUAACGUCCCUGUAGUUAGGAAAUAAAUAGUUUGGAAAUCAAUGUGAAAUACCCUGGCAUUUGCAACAGUAGGCAACCUGUCCUUAAAAAGUAUGGGCCCUCAAAACAGCACUUGUUGCACAAAUAAGUGUUGCAUAGAGCAGUCUUUCCCAACCAGGGGUACGUGUACCACUAGGGGUACGCGAGCACCCUGCAGGGGGUACUUGGAAAAAUGAAAACAUGUAUGGAGCAUAGUCACAUUGGGAUAUAAAGCAUGAGUCAGGGGGUACUUGUGGUAUGAGAAAAGGCUUAGGGGGUACUUAAGACAAAAAAAGGUUGGGAAACACUGGCAUAGAGCACGCCACCCCGAAAUCAAUGUGAAAUACCCUGGCAUUUGCAACAGUAGGCAGCAUGUCCUUAAAACGUAUGGGUCCUCAAAACAGCACUUGUUGCACAAAUAAGUGUAGCUGGCCUCUUCAAGAAAUUGAAAUUAUGCAUGGUCACUUUUUCUUAUUGUUUCACGUGGAGGUCUACUGACAUUGUCUAAAUAAUGUAGGCUAGUUUAUGUCCAUGUAUUAUAUUAGGACCCAAGGUUAAUGGGUUAUUCUGUUUACCAUGUUUUCACAGGCUGCUGUCUCAUAAUAUGGCGAAGACGAGUCACUUGAAGGCCUAACAGCUCUUAUGAGGAGCAGUCUUGCCAUAGAAGACUGAAAGAAUGUAAGAUUAACUUCUUUGUGACCAAUAUGACUUGCUCAUUGAUACAUUAGCUAUGUCAAUAUGAGAUGCAUGGCGAAGUAUUUAAUUUAUUUGUCUCUCUUCUAGGAGCUGUAGAAACAACAGGGUGCCUGCUGCAGUAUGACGAGGACGCCCUGAUCAUAGAAGGUCCAGUGUCUUGGCAGGGUGAAAUGGCACUGAUAUCGUGUCCUGCAGGAUGCUGUGUCCUGCAAUCCUGUGUGCUGUGCUACAGACGCGUGUGGAGGUCAACCCGAAAUGGGCACAGUAGCGUGAAAGAGGAUCCUGGCAGGGAGACGGUAGUGUCCUGCAGGAUGGUGAUGGGCAAUCUUACAAGAGACCACAGAAAACUGAUAUAGUCUCCCAGAAGUGAGACUGAGUGCCUGUUGCAGUAUGACGAGGAAGCAGUGACCAGAGACCUUCAGUAGACCCUGCUGGCAUGAUUGGCGGCUGAAGAACAUAAUCAACAGCAAUGUUUAUAAUAUUGUACAUACCUGUAUAGUCUGCACUAAAAUGCUGUACCUGUACUAUUUUUCCUCUUACUUUCAUAUUUACU